GCGAAGUUCGUCCGCCGGACUCGGAAUGGCCCCAGACUUUGUGGGCGGCCUCCGUGUGCCAAAAAUAGGCCACGGGCACAGCCGCGCCCAAAAAUGAGCGCCCGAAGGUCGGGGCGCCAACACCCCCCAGCGGAAAAAUGGCCAAAAAACGGGUGGGCUAUAGCCUUGGCGGGGGGCGUGGGCGAAGUUCGUUCGCCGGACUCGGAAUGGCCCCAGACUUUGCGGGCGGCCACCGUGCGCCAAAAAUAGUCCACGGGCGCAGCCGCGCCCAAAAAACGAGCGCCCGAAGGUCGGGGCGCCAACACCCCCCAGCGGAAAAUUGGCCGAAAAACGGGUGGCCUAUAGCCUUGGUGGGGGGCGUGGGCGAAGUUCGUCCGCCGGACUCGGAAUGGCCCCAGACUUUACGGGCGGCCUCCGUGUGCCAAAAAUAGACCACGGGCACAGCCGCGCCCAAAAAUGAGCUCCCGAAGGUCGGGGCGCCAACACCCCCCAGCGGAAAAUUGGCCAAAAAACGUGUGGGCUAUAGCCUUGGUGGGGGGCGUGGGCGAAGUUCGUCCGCCGGACUCGGAAUGACCCCAGACUUUGCGGGCGGCCUCCGUGUGCCAAAAAUAGGCCACGGGCACAGCCGCGCCCAAAAAUGAGUGCCCGAAUGUCGGGGCGCCAACACCCCCCAGCGGAAAAAUGGCCAAAAAACGGGUGGGCUAUAGCCUUCGUGGGGUGCGUGGGCGAUGCUCGUCCGCCGGACUCGGAUGGCCCCAAACUUUGCGGGCUGCCUCCGUGUGCCAAAAAUAGGCCACGGGCACAGCCGCGUCCAAAAAUGAGCAUCCGAAGGUCGGGGCGCCAACACCCCCCAGCGGAAAAAUGGCCAAAAAACGGGUGGGCUAUAGCCUUCGUGGGGGGCGUGGGCGAUGCUCGUCCGCCGGACUCGGAAUGGCCCCAAACUUUGCGGGCUGCCUCCAUGUGCCAAAAAUAGGCCACGGGUACAGCCGCGCCCAAAAAUGAGCAUCCGAAGGUCGGGGCGCCAACACCCCCCAGCCGAAAAAUGGCCAAAAAACGUGUGGGCUAUAGCCUUGGCGGGGGGCGUGGGCGAAGUUCGUCCGCCGGACUCGGAAUGGCCCCAGACUUUGCGGGCGUCCUCCGUGCGCCAAAAAUAGGCCACGGGCACAGCCGCGCCCAAAAAUGAGCGCCCGAAGGUCGGGGCGCCAACACCCCCCAGCGGAAAAAUGGCCAAAAAACGGGUGGGCUAUAGCCUUGGCGGGGGGCGUGGGCGAAGUUCGUUCGCCGGACUCGGAAUGGCCCCAGACUUUGCGGGCGGCCACCGUGCGCCAAAAAUAGUCCACGGGCGCAGCCGCGCCCAAAAAACGAGCGCCCGAAGGUCGGGGCGCCAACACCCCCCAGCGGAAAAUUGGCCGAAAAACGGGUGGCCUAUAGCCUUGGUGGGGGGCGUGGGCGAAGUUCGUCCGCCGGACUCGGAAUGGCCCCAGACUUUACGGGCGGCCUCCGUGUGCCAAAAAUAGACCACGGGCACAGCCGCGCCCAAAAAUGAGCUCCCGAAGGUCGGGUUCCAACACCCCCCAGCGGAAAAUUGGCCAAAAAACGUGUGGGCUAUAGCCUUGGUGGGGGGCGUGGGCGAAGUUCGUCCGCCGGACUCGGAAUGACCCCAGACUUUGCGGGCGGCCUCCGUGUGCCAAAAAUAGGCCACGGGCACAGCCGCGCCCAAAAAUGAGUGCCCGAAGGUCGGGGCGCCAACACCCCCCAGCGGAAAAAUGGCCAAAAAACGGGUGGGCUAUAGCCUUGGUGGGGGGCAUGGGCGAAGUUCGUCCACCGGACUCGGAAUGGCCCCAGACUUUGCGGGCGGCCUCCGUGUGCCAAAAAUAGGCCACGGGCACAGCCGCGCCCAAAAAUGGGCGCCCGAAGGUCGGGCCGCCAACACCCCCCAGCGGAAAAAUGGCCAAAAAACGGGUGUGCUAUAGCCUUGGCGGGGGGCGUGGGCGAAGUUCGUCCGCCGGACUCGGAAUGGCCCCAGACUUUGUGGGCGGCCUCCGUGUGCCAAAAAUAGGCCACGGGCACAGCCGCGCCCAAAAAUGAGCGCCCGAAGGUCGGGGCGCCAACACCCCCCAGCGGAAAAAUGGCCAAAAAACGGGUGGGCUAUAGCCUUGGCGGGGGGCGUGGGCGAAGUUCGUUCGCCGGACUCGGAAUGGCCCCCGACUUUGCGGGCGGCCACCGUGCGCCAAAAAUAGUCCACGGGCGCAGCCGCGCCCAAAAAACGAGCGCCCGAAGGUCGGGGCGCCAACACCCCCCAGCGGAAAAUUGGCCGAAAAACGGGUGGCCUAUAGCCUUGGUGGGGGGCGUGGGCGAAGUUCGUCCGCCGGACUCGGAAUGGCCCCAGACUUUACGGGCGGCCUCCGUGUGCCAAAAAUAGACCACGGGCACAGCCGCGCCCAAAAAUGAGCUCCCGAAGGUCGGGUUCCAACACCCCCCAGCGGAAAAUUGGCCAAAAAACGUGUGGGCUAUAGCCUUGGUGGGGGGCGUGGGCGAAGUUCGUCCGCCGGACUCGGAAUGACCCCAGACUUUGCGGGCGGCCUCCGUGUGCCAAAAAUAGGCCACGGGCACAGCCGCGCCCAAAAAUGAGUGCCCGAAGGUCGGGGCGCCAACAGUCGCCAGCGGAAAAAUGGCCAAAAAACGGGUGGGCUAUAGCCUUCGUGGGGGGCGUGGGCGAUGCUCGUCCGCCGGACUCGGAAUGGCCCCAAACUUUGCGGGCUGCCUCCGUGUGCCAAAAAUAGGCCACGGGUACAGCCGCGCCCAAAAAUGAGCAUCCGAAGGUCGGGGCGCCAACACCCCCCAGCCGAAAAAUGGCCAAAAAACGUGUGGGCUAUAGCCUUGGCGGGGGGCGUGGGCGAAGUUCGUCCGCCGGACUCGGAAUGGCCCCAGACUUUGCGGGCGUCCUCCGUGCGCCAAAAAUAGGCCACGGGCACAGCCGCGCCAAAAAAUGAGCGCCCGAAGGUCGGGGCGCCAACACCCCCCAGUGGAAAAUUGGCCGAAAAACGGGUGGCCUAUAGCCUUGGUGGGGGGCGUGGGCGAAGUUCGUCCGCCGGACUGGGAAUGGCCCCAGACUUUGCGGGCGACCUCCGUGUGCCAAAAAUAGGCCACGGGCAC
rnacentral:lncRNA from 1 species